CUACGGGGGGCACCAGUGGGGAAUAUUGCACAAUGGAGGAAACUCUGAUGCAGCAACGCCGCGUGGAGGAUGGCCCUUUUCGGAGCGUAAACUCCUUUUAUAUAGGAAGAAGAUGACGGUACUAUAUGAAUAAGCGCCGGCUAACUCCGUGCCAGCAGCCGCGGUAAUACGGAGGGCGCAAGCGUUACUCGGAAUCACUGGGCGUAAAGAGCGUGUAGGCGGAUUAAAAAGUCAGAAGUGAAAUCCUAUAGCUUAACUAUAGAACUGCUUCUGAAACUCUUAAUCUAGAAUAUGGGAGAGGUAGAUGGAAUUUCUGGUGUAGGGGUAAAAUCCGUAGAGAUCAGAAGGAAUACCGAUUGCGAAGGCGAUCUACUAGAACAUUAUUGACGCUGAGACGCGAAAGCGUGGGGAGCAAACAGGAUUAGAUACCCUGGUAGUC
rnacentral:rRNA from 1 species